rnacentral:miRNA from 1 species
AUUCAGGGACAAAGUGUGCG